rnacentral:rRNA from 1 species
AAGUCGUAACAAGGUUUCCGUAGGUGAACCUGCGGAAGGAUCAUUAUUGAAUAAAUCUGGUCAGUUGUAGCUGGCUCUCCGGAGCAUGUGCACGCUGGUCACCUUUAUCUUUCCACCUGUGAACACACUGUAGUCCUGGAUACCUCUCGCCACAAGACGGAUGCGUGGUUUGGCGUGCUGCUCACACGAGCGGUCGGCUUACUGCGAAUUUCCAGGUCUAUGAUUAUACAAACCCCAAACGAAUGUAACAGAAUGUAAUCAUUGGGCCUCGUGCCUAUAAACCUAUACAACUUUCAGCAACGGAUCUCUUGGCUCUCGCAUCGAUGAAGAACGCAGCGAAAUGCGAUAAGUAAUGUGAAUUGCAGAAUUCAGUGAAUCAUCGAAUCUUUGAACGCACCUUGCGCUCCUUGGUAUUCCGAGGAGCAUGCCUGUUUGAGUGUCAUUAAAUUCUCAACCUCACCAAUUUUGUAAUGAAAUUGUGUGCGGCUUGGAUGUGGGGGUUGCAGGUCCGCCUUGGUGGUCUGCUCCUCUGAAAUGUAUUAGUGGGUUUGGUCCCCUAAUCUAUUGGUGUGAUAAUUAUCUACGCCGUGGGUUGGGAGAUGCUUGUGAACCUGCUUCUAACCGUCCCUUACAAGGACAAUCAUUGACAUUUUUGACCUCAAAUCAGGUAAGACUACCCGCUGAACUUAAGCAUAUCAAUAAGCGGAGGAAAAGAAACUAACAAGGAUUCCCCUAGUAACUGCGAGUGAAGCGGGAAAAGCUCAAAUUUAAAAUCUGGCGGUCUUUGGCCGUCCGAGUUGUAAUCUAGAGAAGUGUUACCCGUGUCGGACCGUGUAUAAGUCUCCUGGAAUGGAGCGUCAUAGAGGGUGAGAAUCCCGUCUUUGACACGGACUACCGAGGCUUUUGUGGUGCGCUCUCAAAGAGUCGAGUUGUUUGGGAAUGCAGCUCAAAAUGGGUGGUAAAUUCCAUCUAAAGCUAAAUAUUGGCGAGAGACCGAUAGCGAACAAGUACCGUGAGGGAAAGAUGAAAAGAACUUUGGAAAGAGAGUUAAACAGUACGUGAAAUUGCUGAAAGGGAAACGCUUGAAGUCAGUCGCGUUGGCCGGAAAUCAACCUUGCUUCUGCUGGGUGUACUUUCUGGUUGACGGGCCAGCAUCAGUUUUGAUCGAUGGAAAAAGGCAGGGGGAAUGUGGCAUCCCAGGAUGUGUUAUAGCCCCUUGUUGCAUACAUCGGUUGGGACUGAGGAAUUCAGCACGCCGAAAGGCCGGGUCUUUGACCACGUUCGUGCUUAGGAUGCUGGCAUAAUGGCUUUAAUCGACC